rnacentral:SRP_RNA from 1 species
UGGGUCUUGUGCGGCAGAAUUUAGUUAACCCCGUCAGGUCCGGAAGGAAGCAGCGGCAUACUUUUCAUUCUGGGUGCCACGAGUUGCUUGGU